GUGACAGAAGAGAGUGAGCACCCAUGAUGCUUCUGUGCAUGGUGCAUGGGGGAGUCUAUGCGUGCUCACUGCUCUCUCUGUCAU
rnacentral:pre_miRNA from 1 species